GGGGGCUGCAGUGCCAGUUUUCUAGAAAUCUCUGUUCAUCUGUUGGAAUGCAAAUAGAAGAGUUGCUCUGUAGAUUGCCUGUCUAUAAUUUUAGUUAUACAAGAAGUUUAUAGCAGUGUUUGUGGUUUUGUUGUUUGGUUUGGUUGGUUUUGGGGUUUAGUCUUGUUUCAUUGGUUGGUUUUGGGGUUUUUUUUCCCCAAAAUUGGAAAUGUGAGAACAAAGGCAAAUUCUUAUCUUAGAGAGGAAUAAAUCCUUAAUGCUUCAUCAUCAUUUUGGUGCUGUUCAGGGGAUGGGGACACUUGGAUGAGGAGUUGAGACAGUUUUGAUGUGAGGUGCCUGGUGGAAGCUGGGAUAAGAUAAGCACUAACUGAGGUGAAGUUGCUGCUGUCACAGGAGGAUGGAUCACAAUCUGUGAUAGGUGUGAGCUGGGCUGGUGAGGUGGGAUCCCACAGCUCUGGGAUUCACUGUUUGGAAUUCCCAUCAGGAUUCUUUCAAGCAUUUCAAUCACAGAAUGGUUUGGGUUGGAAGGGACCUUAAAGAUCACCUCACUCCAACCCCCUUCUCCAGACCUCAUCACCUUUCCUAGGUCAGGUUUUGACCUAGAAAGUUUGAGAAGUAACACCCUGAGAGAUCUGUGAGCACACAUCAAAGCUGAAAAUCUCCUUUCACUCAGAAGCUGCUGCCAGCAGUUUUGGUAAAGCUCUUUGCCACUGUGAAACUCUGGAGGUGGCUACAACAAGCUGACUUUUGGAAAAGGGACAAAACUCUCUGUUUAUCCAAUUGGCUUCUCUUCUAGGAAAGGAGGAGUUAAAAAGGCAAAUAUAUUUCUUUGGAUGGUUUUUGCAAAGCACUUUCUGGCUGUGUGAACACAGGAAACGUUGGGAAAUUAACUUUUGGACAAGGAACAAGAAUUAUUGUAAAACCAAGAUGCAGUGAGUGAUGUGGGCCCUGAUUGGGUGCAGGAAGGAGAACUAUGUGGGGUUGCAUUAAUGAAAUCUUCAUUAUUGCAUUUCUGAAAACCUCCCAUGAGCAAUUCAUCCACUUAAAGGUGUGUGGAAGAACUCAGGAUAUGCAAGGAAGAGCUGAAAUGGGCAUAUCCAUCACAGAAACUCGUUAGCAGGAUGGUUAAUUAUCCAACU